rnacentral:rRNA from 1 species
UAGGCGCACGGGUGAGUAACACGUAGGUAAUGUGCCUUUGGGUGGGGAAUAACUUAGGGAAACUUAAGCUAAUACCGCAUAAUGCGAUAACUUCUUCGGAAGAUUUGUUAAAGAUUUAUCGCCUGAAGAGCAGCCUGCGGCAGAUUAGCUAGUUGGUAAGGUAACGGCUUACCAAGGCUACGAUCUGUAUCCGACCUGAGAGGGUGGUCGGACACACUGACACUGAAUAACGGGUCAG